CCCAUAUUGAUGUAGUUUAAACUCACUAGGAGGAUGAUGCUGCCCAGGAAAAUGUGUUGGGCUACAGACUGUUUCUGGACCACAAUCUUUCAGAAGUGUUUGGCAAAAUCAUAACGGACCCGUCAUUGCGCCGAUGUAAAAGCCUUUGUGUUUAGAACGGGCUUACUCUAAACAUGCCAAUGUCUACUGAGAAGCUGCCAACAAAUUUUACUGUCUAAUUAUAACCGUAGUCAUGCAAGAUUUGUCUAAGCAGCGAUAGCGCGAUAGGUAGUCAAUUGUGUUCGAAAACUGGGAGUGUUAAUCAUGUAAAGCAAAAUCGAAAGACGCAAUCUAACAGGGUGUAUUUACCGAUGCACCAUACAAUAGUCGCAUAUAGAUGAAAUUUACCUAUUUUAGCUUAUUGACAACUCUGCAAACAAACAGAUCAUUUCGCUAACGCGACUUUAUCAGACGUUAAGAACGCCCUUAUUUUUAUUGUUUGAGAGGAUUAAUGUCACUUUGACCUUGCCUGUCUUCAAGAGAAAGCAAAUCAAAAAUUGAAUGUAUCUAUUCCCUUUAGGUUAAGUCUUUUCACUGCGAAAAGCAAUAACAGCUGCCAAUACAAUUGACUUCCAUUUCAUCCCCUUUAAAAUAGUCACUUUCAUCGUCAGGCUGAGAGCUUUGUUCAUGAAUGUUUUAACAUUAGUACAUCGUUAACUAGUUAACAUUAUUGUGCGUCUAGAAUUUAACUUCUUCCGACGGUAAAAGCUUCUAAAGGUGUCCUCAAAGCUUUUACCGUCGGGUGUCCGACUCUGUUUCAUAAAAAUAUAUGCGCAUUAACGCAAUCUUCCAUUUUUAGACCAAACAUUAGUCUGCAAUAUGUGAUUUCAUAGUAGAAAAAAACAAAGUGCGUAACAAGUCGCACCUGAUUAUUGCUGGACAAUUGAUAGUUUGUGGUAAGUUGUGACAAUCACUUCGUUGGAAACUGCUCUUCGGUAAGUUAGAUGCAGAUUGGAAAAAGUUAAUUAAAUACGGACGGACAAACAGAUUGCCUAUCUUCUUGUUCGCUAGUCAUACACGUUUUCAAUGAGCUGUUACAAACGCCCGCCAACUGGUGAGCCAAAAAGAAGCGAAAUAAAUCUAGAGAUAAAUAAAUGUCAAACAGAUAGAUAAACUGUGCCUUGUGUUCGAAUAUCGCUUGUAGCAGUCGUUUCGGGAACCAUUAAACGUAACCAGAAAAUCUGCCCUUAUGGUCAGCUUAACAAAUAUCAAGUGGCAGAGAAAUUUCGUUAUUGUGUUUACCCUCGAUAUGUACUCGUUGUAGUUCAUGCAUUUAUAGUUACUCACAGUAUUUAUCGGACGGUAUUUAUACACCGUCAUUAAGGCCAUUAAUAUUGCACGCGCAAGCAGGCCUUCCCCUGGCCAAUUCCUAGAAAAAACGUUUCUUAAAUCCGUAACGAAUUAAUUUUAAUACAGACUCACCGCCUCAAAUGAUCCGCUUAACUCCUUCAAAUAGCCCGUAAUCAGAAUACAUUUCUAACAAUCUCUUCUUUCAGAUUUUCGGCUGAGUGAUUUUAACAAUGGAAUUUAAUAACAAAUUCUUAGAAGUCGGUUCCGGUUAGGAACGCAUGGCGUAGAAUGAUAGAAAAAUUUGCCGAUCAGAAAAUUAAUAGACAUAUCUUAACGAGUUCACAGAGGUGUUGUUCUUAGUAAUCGGUUCCACCUUGUUUUCAAGUCUAUUGUAACCUUCGUCGAAUAUUGCAAGCUUGUAUUUUCUACCUGGCAUAUCCUGCACAGCACCCCGACUAGUAGAAAAAUCUGACUAUGAGCGGCAUAUCAAGCGUUUACUGUUUAUUUUCUUGUCUUUAUGUUUCCAUCUGGUUCAGCUUCGUUUCAUGAUGAAAACGCUACAGCCAGCUAUCGUUAUCUAUUGAAUACGUGUAACUGAGAAGUCCAUUCAUUGGUCGCCUGCGGAGAGCAACGUUCUUGAGCAGGUAACUCCUGAGCUCAUACGCUUGCUGGGUCCUCCUGGGUUCUCUAUGGGAACCGCUGUAAGUUUCGAAACUUUUCAUAGUGCGGUCUCUUCGUAGACCUGAUUCUGCUCAAGCAAACAGGCUAUUUUGGCAGCACAGGAGCAUAUUUGUUUCAAAGGUUGUUAACCAAUACACCUCUUAUAACAAUAACCUCUAGGGUUUUCUCUCAAGGGCAUACCGGGAGUGACCACAAUAAUAAUUCUUCUAUUCUAUAGCGGAACGGCUGGACGACCACCCGCUACCGGCUUUUAGAAGUUCUGCGCACGUUCCUAAUCCAUUUGGUUGCCAGCAGCUCACUCAGACUAUGUGUAUACAUACUGCUUUUUAAAAUCGAAUGAUACACACAAUUAUACGCCUAAGUUGGAAAACACCGUAUUUCACGUUUAUCUUCUCUAAUAAAGCGUUCUGAAAUCACGUAGAUAUUCAGAUAAACUAAUCCGAUUGUUUUCACGCUAAAAAUCCCUUGUUUAUAAUACGGAACGCGAUAACAUUUUUUUUUUUUGUUUUAGUAGCCUGCCGCUCACAGUCAAAAACACGUAGAGCAUUUAAUAUCUAUCAUAAAAAUUUAUCAUUAGCGUUAAUUUCAAAUAUUACACAACAACAUACAGGUGGAUACAGUCGUAGACUUGAGUGUCAUUAUAAAUCAACCAUUAUUCGGUAUAGACAUUACAGGACAAACCUCAGCUUGUAGUGCCUAUUCGUUGAUAAUGACAGUUAUCUGUAUACAGGAUUUUCGUUUCUGCGGCGUUUUUCUGACUGAUGCUUCUGCUAAUGUUGAUGAUUCUAUCACAUUUAACACUUGUCUACCUUCUAUAACUGAAUAGACUAUUGUCGCACACCAUAAGUGAAUUAAUUCAAUUUAUGCAUAACACAAUGGCACCGUACUUAUUGAAACACUUCCCAGUUCUUUCAGCGGACAUCAUUGCACUGUUCAGGCAUAUAGAACGAGCUGUGAGUUUGUGCGUCUGAAGUUAGCAAACUGGACAAAGGCGAGAACUUCACGGUUUUCUUACGCUCAUAACAACAGCAAAUUGUAUGAGUGCUAACAGUAAUAACAGCCGUAUUAACAGGCCAUUGCUACAGCUAGAGGAAAGAGCAGCUGGCGUAAUUUGCGACGACGACGGCAGCGUUUGCAGCGUCAGCGACUAAGUCAGGUGCGGCUACACACGGAUAAGUUUCGUAGGAGCACACAACAACUUCAAUGCUGGCGCCAAUGUUGCCGUAGUUAUUCUUCCCGCGUGCUUCCGCCUGUAAUUCCAACGUCGACGUUUUCUUGUUCACAGCCGUCGCCACCACCGCCACUACCGUCACCAUCACCGUCACCGUCGUCUUCACUGUCGACUUGGCGCAACCAAGAAUGUCGGGGCUUCCCCGCGCGUUGUCCUUUCCUGGUGGUCGCUGCUACCAGAUCGACCACACGGACCCAGCGAGCCUGGUGCCGCUAUCAACAGCGACAGCCUUGGAAACGACCGCCGUCAGCGGCCGACGAACAAACAAGGAAGGAGUCAUCUGUUCGUUGAGAAAGGACGAAACGGAGAAGUAGACACGAGGGUAAAUGGCGACCGACACAAAAGUUGAAAAGAGAACCACGUGAUACCGGUAGGUUCAGACUUACGGUGAGAGAUUUGUUUUGGAAGAAUGUGCCACAACAGUUAACGAUCUUAGGAGAGAGUGAAGCGACUACGAUACUUUUGCUGUUUCAAUCUAUAAUGUAACAUUUUUCACCUGAUCACUCGAAUUAGGCCCUGAUAAAUAGCUACACCCGUCUAUGUGUACAGUAUCAGCUGAAAGUGGGAAAUCUUGAAUGUGACGUCGUCUUGUUAUAUAAUAUUUAUAUCUGUAGACCAUAUGCGAUUCUUAGGUGAAGAUGUGACACCUUCACUGAAGUAAAGCACUUGGCUUCAAUAUUUCCUGCGAGUCACAAAUUCACAACAAACUGUCUGUGAUAAAUAUCCUUAAUAGAUCUGACGGACAAUUGUACGUUUUGUCAACGUAUCGCAAAUGUGUCAACCUAAGGUUAAAAAAAAGAAAUUUCAAACGAUGCUUAAUUUGGACAAGAUAGAAUUUCAAAAACGCAAAAUAAAAACAGUGAUUACUUUUCACAUGAUUGGAUACCUUAGGUAGACUUAACUUUUAUAAAAGGUGUUAUAAGACUGCAAUAAUGUAAUUUUGUCGAUAUGGUAAACUAGCUACCAAUUAGGUGUGUUUUUAAUGAUAGCAUUUAGUCAUAUUUUUAAGUGGCAUACGUACAAACAUACUUUUUUUUAUGAUAAAUAAGAUUAAAACUGGCUGAAAAGAAAGAUUUGAGUUCUUCGAAGUAUACUAUCGCUCUAUCCUAAAA